rnacentral:rRNA from 1 species
AUGGGGAAGUCCCCGGCCAAGUGGCUCAAGUCCGUGCUCUUCGGGAAGAAGACCUCCAGGUCUGGCUCCGCCAAGGCCAAGGAUUUAUCGAAGGCCGGGAGCAACAGAGGGUAUGUUGCUGGUGGGAAGGAGCCCGGGUUCUCGGAGAGCUCCCCUGUGAUCUCCGAGCCGGUGCUCGUUACACCGCGCAACAAUGACGCCGUGCCGGAGGUGGGGAAGGGUGAGAAUUCCAGCUCGCAAGGCGAAGCGGCGGUGCAGCACGAGGUGAACCAUGAUUUGGAGAAGCAGAGCACUGCCGGUUCUGAUGUGCUGUCCAAUGACCCGGAGCGGCUGAAGGAAGAACAAGCAGCCGUUAAGGCCCAAGCCGCCUUCCGAGGCUACCUGGCACGUCGGGCUUUCCGUGCAUUGAAAGGAAUCAUACGACUUCAGGCGCUGAUUCGUGGCCAUCUUGUAAGGAGGCAAGCUGCUUCAACUCUCCGUGCUACAUGGUUGAUUGUGAAGUUCCAAGCUAUUGUUCGUGGUAGAAAUGUCAGACUCUCUAGUGAUGCAAUUCAAUUCAGUUGGAAGCUUGCCGAGCAGAAGUCUGUGGGUGCUAAACCAGAUGCAUGGAGGGAGAGGUUAGCUUCAAAUGCAUUUGCCCGUAAGCUUCUGGCUUCACCGAUUCUGGUAGAGGCUCUUCACUUUCAGUAUGACGAGAGGGAUCCUAAUUCAGCCUUCAACUGGUUAGAGAGAUGGACCAUAAGCCGUGUCUGGAAACCUGUUUACCAAACAAAGAGGAAUGCUAUUGCUGAUGCCAAACCGCAGACAAAGAGGGCCAGUUACGCUAUGGAAACAGAGUCAGGGAAAUUGAAACGCAAUGCUCGGAAGAGUUCUGCAAUGUCAGUUGAGCCCACUCCUCCGACAAACAUGCCGUUGGAAACUGAAAAAACAAGAAGGAACCCAAGGAAAUUCACUAGCACUCCUGCUGAUUCAGUGCCUGAUAGCCAAUUAACUGAACUUGAGAAGGUUAAGCGCAGCCUUCGGAAGGUAACUAAUUCCAUGGCCGAAGCCUCAAAGGUAUCUAGCCCUGCAACUGAUACCCCUGACCACCCAGAGAUCCAAUGUGAGAAACCACAACGUACUGCACAGGAAGUCCCAGUUUAUCCUGAGAUUCAAGAACCUCACCAUGAUGAUCUGUUGGAAAAUGCGAAGGUGGAUAUCUUUGUACCUGAUCUCAAACCUGAAGUGGAAGUUACUCCAUAUGCAGUCACAAGUGAAGAAAAACUUGAUGAGCCGACCGUUGUUGCUACAGCAGCUGAAGUUAUGCCCCUGCAAGACAUUGACAAUGAAGAAAAUGCUUUGGUGAAUGAUGCGGAGCAGAGAUCCAGAGAAGAACCUCUCUCCGCCGAAAGCCUUAAAGGUGGUAACAGGAGGUCUUCGUUCUCAACGAAGCCAGAAUAUCCAGAGAACGGCUCCAAAAACUCUCCAGCUGUGCCCAGCUACAUGGCUGCAACAAAAUCUGCAAAGGCGAAGCUGCGGGGACAGAUAUCACCUAGACUUAGCGCUGAUUCAGCAGAAAAAACUGUCUACACACGCCGCCAUUCCCUUCCUUCCCCUGCCAAUGGUAAGCAGAACUCGCACUCGCCGCGUACACAAAGGCCAAUCCAUCCUGGUACCAAAGAGGGAGCGAAAGUCGACAAGUCUAUGCUGUCAUCAAGAGACGCAGCCGAGAGACCGAUGAAAGCCGAAUGGAGACGGUGA